UAAUGAUUUCAGCAUCCAUGUUCAUGACUCAUUAGCACUCUGACCUCACAAUUUCUCAUCGUUUUCUUUUCCAAUCAUCUUCAACUUCACUCUGUAUCAGCAACCCACAGAUGGAGCCACACCUUCAACCUAGUCAUCAAUGAAAUUACUUCCCCUCCAAAAUGCUGGAUUGAUUUACGGAAUGGCCAUCUUCCAUAAUUAACAAAUAAAUAAAUGAAAUUUAAUGUCAGGGUCAAAUGAAACUGGAAACAAAGCUUAUCUGGUGAUAUAUCAAAUUAUGAGAGUCAUUAUUUGGAUGUAAGGAUAUAUGACAGAUAGACUCUUAGGAGAAAUGCUAUGACCUCCUGCUUCUUGGUAUUCCUUGUGUGAUUUCCUCCUCUUGAGUGUGAAGGCAUGUAUGUCAUUGAGUUAUAUAAGAUAGUGCCCAUCUUGCUAGUGUCUCUCUCUCUCUUGUGGCUCUGAAAAAUCAAGCUGCCUGCCAUGUUUGAGCUUUGAUAUGGAAAGACCCACAUGUUAAGGAACUGAGGGCAGACUCUGCCAACAGCUAGCUUUGAAACUGAAUCUCCCGGCCAGGCACAGUGGCUCAUGCCUUUAAUCCCAGCACUUUGGGAGGCCAAGGUGGGUGGAUCACAAGGUCAGGAGUUCAAGACCAGCCUGGCCAAGAUGGUGAAACCCCAUCUCUACUAAAAAUACAAAAAUUAGCUGGGUGUGGUGGCAGGCACCUGUAAUCCCAGCUACCCAGGAGGCUGAGGGAGAGAAUUUCUUGAACCCAGGAGGCAGAGGUUGCAGUGAGCUGAGAUCACGCCACUGCACUCCAGCCUGGGUGGCAGAGCGAGACUCCAUCUCAAAAAAAAAAAAAAAAGAGAGAAAGAAACCAAAUCUCUCAGUCCUACAACCUCAAGGAACUGAAUUUUGCCAACAAAAGCAGAUCCUUCCCCAGUCAAGCCUCAGAUGAGACAGCAUCCUCAGCUAACAACUUGUUUGCAGCCUCAUGAGAACUGAAGCAGAGAACCCAGCUAAACUGUGCCUAGACUCCUGACCACAGAAACUGAGAUAAUAAAUGUGUGUUGUUUUAAGCUGCCAAGUAUGUGAUAAUUUGUUAUGUAGUGGAGAACUAAUACAACAGGGAAAAGUUAAAAGCUAUUCACAUAAAUAUUUAUAAUGGAUACUAUUUCUACACAUUUAAAUCAAGCUUCUCUUACGUUCAUAAGAAGAUACGAAUCUGGAGAAGGAAAUUAUAUCAAGCAGAACGCUGCUCUGGUGUUGUGAAGACGGGAUCCCACCAUUCUAAUGUAUUCAAUUUAUUUAUUCAAUAAGUUUUGAGCAUCAACUAUGUUCCAGGCACUGAGAUAUUAAUCUAAGGAAGACACACGUGUUGUCCUCAUUGAGGAGCUCAAAAGUCUAAUACAUAAACCAACAAUCAUACAAAAAUCAUAGCCAUGUUACAGUGCUAUGAGGAAGAUGUUAAGAGAAUAUUCUGGAAGUACUCAUACAUAAAUACUUCAGAAACUGGGCAUUAUAAGAAGUCAGUUGCCUCUCUCUACUUUCAGUUCUACAUUUUUAUACCUUGUAGUGGAUUUAAAAUGGCCACAAAUUCUUCAAUACUCUUCUAUGGAGAGAUUUGAGGGCUAUUUCCCUUCAUCUUGAAUUUAGGCAGGCUUGUUCAGGGUCUGGCUUUUAAGAGGAGCUUUCACCUUGGUCUGUGGAAGUCCUGAGUCACUGUGUACAAAGUCCAUCUACCUUAUUACACCAUCUGGAGAGAGCUGAGACUACAGGGAGAGGGGGAGUGGCCCGGCUGAUCCCAGUCUUCCUAGUGACCCUGCCCAGGAACUUGGCAUGUGAGUAAAGCCAUCUUGGAACCUCCAUACCAGACCAGCCACGAGAUGAAUAAUACUAACUGAUCCCAGUCAAUGCCACAUAGAGCAGAAGAACUGCCUAACUGAAUUCUUUCCAAACUGCUGACUCAAAAAUUUGUAUGGUAUAAUAAAAUGUUUGUUUUAAGUCACUGUUUUGUUAGGAGUAAUAAG
rnacentral:lncRNA from 1 species